GACAAACGCUGGCGGCGUGCUUAACACAUGCAAGUCGAACGGAAAGGCCCUGCUUUUGUGGGGUGCUCGAGUGGCGAACGGGUGAGUAACACGUGAGUAACCUGCCCUUGACUUUGGGAUAACUUCAGGAAACUGGGGCUAAUACCGGAUAGGAGCUCCUGCUGCAUGGUGGGGGUUGGAAAGUUUCGGCGGUUGGGGAUGGACUCGCGGCUUAUCAGCUUGUUGGUGGGGUAGUGGCUUACCAAGGCUUUGACGGGUAGCCGGCCUGAGAGGGUGACCGGCCACAUUGGGACUGAGAUACGGCCCAGACUCCUACGGAAGGCAGCAGUGGGGAAUAUUGCACAAUGGGCGGAAGCCUGAUGCAGCAACGCCGCGUGCGGGAUGACGGCCUUCGGGUUGUAAACCGCUUUCGCCUGUGACGAAGCGUGAGUGACGGUAAUGGGUAAAGAAGCACCGGCUAACUACGUG
rnacentral:rRNA from 1 species